UGCAUAUCCAAAUAGCGGAGGAAAAGAAACCAACAGGGAUUGCCCUAGUAACGGCGAGUGAAGCGGCAACAGCUCAAAUUUGAAAGCUGGCUUAGGCCCGCAUUGUAAUUUGCAGAGGAUGCUUCUGGCGAGGUGCCUUCCGAGUUCCCUGGAACGGGACGCCAUAGAGGGUGAGAGCCCCGUAUGGAUGGACACCAGACCUGUGUGAAGCUCCUUCAACGAGUCGAGUAGUUUGGGAAUGCUGCUCUAAAUGGGAGGUAAAUCUCUUCUAAAGCUAAAUACCGGCCAGAGACCGAUAGCGCACAAGUAGAGUGAUCGAAAGAUGAAAAGCACCUUGAAAAGGGGGUUAAACAGUACGUGAAAUUGUUGAAAGGGAAGCGCUUGUGACCAGACUUGCGCCGGGCAGCUCAUCAGGGGUUCUCCCCUGUGCACUCUGCCCGGCUCAGGCCAGCAUCGGUUUUCGUGGGAGGAUAAGAACGGUAGGAACGUGGCCCCCCUUCGGGGGGGUGUUAUAGCCUGCCGUACGAUACUCCCGUGGGGACCGAGGUUCGCGCUCCGCAAGGAUGCUGGCGUAAUGGUCAUCAGCGACCCGUCUUGAACCCACGGACCA
rnacentral:rRNA from 1 species